ensembl:lncRNA
AUCUCCCCUGAGAGGCCAAAGGGGACAGGACAGGCAGAACCGGCAGCGGCGGGCGGCGAGACGAGGCACAGCAAUCAUGGAGCUGCAGAAGUGCCUUGUACUAGGCAUUGCAGAGCCAGCGUCUGCUGAAAUGAGUGAAGAGGACAAGACGCUCAGAAGCAGCAGGUGCUCUGGGGAGCUUACUUAUCGACACUACGUGCCAGGCAGCCUUCCGUUGCUAAGGAUGCACCAAGGAACAAAACAGACAAAAUCCACGUCCUCCUGGAGCUUACACUUCAGUGAGGAAGAUGAACAAGAAGCUAACCAG